rnacentral:tRNA from 1 species
GGAUAAAGCUCAGUUGGUAGAGUGCUUGCUUCUCAUGCACAAGGCCCUGGAUUUGAUCCCCAGAACCA